AACUUUAUUGAAUAACCACUCAACUGAUUACAAUAAACUCUCUUGGCCUCUCCAGCUCUACCGGAUACCAAUCCCUCCCCUUUGAGGGUCCUCUUAUAGAGGAACAACCUCCAGUUACAAGUCCCUCACGAACUCAACUUCCCAUGCACAAGAUAAGGAUGAAUUCUAGAUAAGAUAGGAAAACCCCGAUUUCCGCAGGAUUCUGCGCAAUCA
rnacentral:lncRNA from 1 species